AAAUGAAGUAGGCCCGUUUCGGCCCGGUCCGGUCCGAUGGGCUUUCUCAAUCCCGGCCUAUGGGUCGGGCUUGGGCUUUGAAUUUUCUAUAAAAAAAUCCGGCCUGACCCAGUAUUUUCUCUCUCCUCUUUAAAGCCCAGUCGACCCUACCCAAGCCCGUUAAAUUUGGACCGGGCUAGUCCGACCGGGCCCAUUGACGAGCCCUAGCAUUGGGUUUCUCUUUUCUCUCUCUUCGAGUUCGACUCCUUCCAAAAUAGCUCCUCUCCUCCUCCUGUGACAAUGAGACAGCGCGAUGAACACAACUCCUCUCCUCUCAGGUAUCCCUCUCUUUCUUCUCCCUAAUUGUCUCUCUCAUCUCUAUAUCUCAUGGUCUCUCAAUCUCCUUCCCAGGCUUCGUUUCAAAACCAAACCCAUACCAAAAAUCUCAGCCCCUAUUGAAACCCCCAUUUAGCUCGAUCCCUGCCGUCUCUCUCUCUCUCUCAAUCGUUUCAGCUUUCACUCUCCCUCCCUCACUCGAUUCUCUUUCUCUAUAGCUUUGGCUUGCUCUCUCUCUCUCUCUCUCUCUCUCUCUCUCUCUCUCUCUCUCUCUCUCUCUCUCUCUCGUUUCAGCCUUCACUCUCCCUCCCUCACUCGAUUCUCUUUAUCUAUAGCUUUGGCUUGCUCUCUCUCUCUCUCUCUCUCUCUCUCUCUCUCUCUCUCAUAUAGAUACGAGCACCAAACGUGGGUGGGCACAAAUUUGUGAGUGAUAGAAAGUUUAGGGUUUCAAUUUUGUUAAACUGAAGAUAAUGUUAAUUAUUCAGGGUUUGAGUUUUCUAAUUUAUAUUGUAAGUUUUAGGUUUUAAUAUUGGGCUAUGGUCUCUGCAGGUUUUCAACUUUUUAAUUUGUAUUUGAACCAUUAAUUUGGAGACAAGGUGAGGAUUUCAUAUUAGUGUUGAACUAGAUGUGAGAUUUGAGUAAUGUUAGUUUAAUUUUGAGUUUACUGCAUUCAUCAUUUUUUGGUUUUUAUUUUUAUUUUUCUGAGUUGGUUCUUGUGUCUACAAGUUGCAUCUUGUUUUCAUAUUUGGAUUCCUGAAUGUGCUAUGAUGUCAUUCUUAAGUCUUUUUGUUUUUUUUUUCCCUGGGGUCUGGCGUGUUGCUUUGUUUGCCUUUGUUUAGCCCGGAUUCUUCUUUUUUAUGUGGUUUUUUUGCUUUAGUUUGUAGUCUUGGUCGUGUGGGAUGGGGGUUGUGAGGAUUGCUCAUCCUCCUGUAGCCCCAUUGAUUUAUAAAUAUCAUCUUUGGAAGCUUGUUAUGAUUGAUUUUUUUCUUCUUCUUGUCAGUAUUCUACUAAACGUGUGUGAAGGUUGCCUCUUUUUUGGGGUUUUAAUGAAAGCUACAUAACAACCAAACAAUAAAAGCCUCUGUUAGUUUCCUUUUGGUC
rnacentral:lncRNA from 1 species